GGCCUUCUCCGCCAUCGUGGUUCCGGGCAGCGGAGCUUCUUCCUCGUCCCGGUUGCUAUCCUCAAUCUUUUCACUUACACCAGAUCGGAAAAUUAUGAAAAAAUAGAAAGGGGAUAGAAUUAAUCUUUUCCGCUGCUUCUUUUUUACCCGAGGGAUUUUUGUGCCUUUUAAGUUUACUGAGAUAGGAACUUGCAUUGCUUCCACAACAACAAAAUAUCGUGUCAGACACUUUGAAGCAGAGGAGGGACCUGGACAAGUCACUGGAAGACACACUCUGGCGGUGGUGGGGCGUGAGCAGAGCUCCCGAAGUAGUCAAGGAUUAAGAGCUAGUCCCUCCUGCAGUGACAACUUGUGAUUCCCACUGGAACUGGAGAGCUGAAGUUUAUGCUGACACCUUCGCAUCGUUCUCUCUACUCUGUUGAGACCAGUCUACCAGAGAAGAUUCCAGUGACGUGAAUAUUUCUACAAAGCAUUCCUGGGGGGUGUGGAGAAGGACUGACCCGGCAGGCUGCACAGAUGAUUUGUGAUGACCCCAACGUUCCUGCUUCCCCGAGCCUUCAGACUCUUUCACAGAGCUUGUCCUGAAAGGGUGGUCCCCGCCUAGUGUCAGCAGCUGCAUCCAUGAACUUGAUAGAAAUGCAAAUUAAAGGCCCGCCUCAGCUAACCACAUCUGAAUCUCUGGGAGUGGGGCCCCUGCUGCUUUCACCACUUCUCCAGGGGACGCGGGAGAGCUGCCUACAAACACGAACAGUCACUGGUGGGACGCCACACCCUGCUCCAGGCGGAGUCUCGGAGGCACCGUG